UCCUGGUUAACCCAGGCAGUCUCACUAGAGUUCCCACCUUCACGUGUUGGCAACUAGUGAUAAGGGUUGCGCUCGUUGCUGGACUUAACCAAACACCUCACGGCACGAGCUGACGACAGCCAUGCAGCACCUGUGCAGCGGCCCUUGCGGGAGGCAUCAUCUCUGAUGCUGUCCACUGCAUGUCAAGACUGGGUAAGGUUCUUCGCGUUGCAUCGAAUUAAACCACAUGCUCCACUGCUUGUGCGGGUCCCCGUCAAUUCUUUUGGGUUUCACCCUUGCGAGUGUACUCCCCAGGCGGUAUACUUAACGCGUUCGCUACGGCACAGCCAGGGUUGAGUCCGGCUACGCCUAGUAUACAUCGUUUACGGCAAGGACUAC
rnacentral:misc_RNA from 1 species